GACAGAGGAGCCAAGCGUUGUCCGGAUUGACUGGGCGUAAAGCGCACGCAGGCGGUCGCGCGCGUGGGGUGUGAAAUCUCCUGGCUUAACUGGGAGGGUGCGCCGGAAACUGGAGUGCUCGAACGUGGGAGAGGAAAGCGGAAUUCCUGGUGUAGCGGUGAAAUGCGUAGAUAUCAGGAGGAACACCUGCGGUGUAGACGGCUUUCUGGACCAUUGUUGACGCUGAGACACGAAAGCGUGGGUAGCAAACAGG
rnacentral:rRNA from 1 species